ACAGAACGCGCCGGGCGCUGGUGGCAGGUGGUACAGGCACGUGGAUCCACCGACCACAAGGACGGAUUCGAUUGGAUUCUGAUUGACCGGCGGACCAGCUCCAGAGUAAUUGUCUAUGGCUGCCCCUGCAAUGACUGAUUGAUUGACAAUGGCUGAGAGACCAGCAAGUGAGUCGCUCCGAGAAAGCGAAGGAGCCCACUCUUGUGCGGCGCUUUGGGAAGACGCCUGUUGGUUUUGACCCCGAAUAAGAAGAGGAAGCUGAGAGCGGGCUGACUGUGGUCCAGUCCUACUUCGAUUCAGUGUGAACUGACACUCUGAUCUGAAGACGCUCAGGCCUUUGUCAUUUCAGCACCCCAGAUGCUAUUUUCCAUUCGAAGAAUGCCGCCACCAGGUGGCGGUAUUUUAACAUGGCCAUGCAAUCCGGGUAUGAGGAGGAGGGUUGGUCCCCUGGGAGAGCUAAUGUAUGUUGCUGUUGCUGUUUGUCUUA
rnacentral:lncRNA from 10 species